rnacentral:rRNA from 1 species
GGAUUCCCCUAGUAACGGCGAGUGAAGAGGGAAAAGCCCAAAUUUGUAAUCUGGCUCUUUUUAUAAGGGUCCGAGUUGUAAUUUUGAGAACUGUUUUCCGUGCUGGACCAUGUACAAGUCUGUUGAAAAACAGCAUCAUUGAGGGUGAUAAUCCCGUAUAUGAUAUGGACUACCAGGGCAAUGUGAUACAGUCUCUAAGAGUCGAGUUGUUUGGGAAUGCAGCUCAAAGUGGGUGGUAAAUUCCAUCUAAGGCUAAAUAUAGGUGAGAGACCGAUAGCAAACAAGUACCGUGAGGGAAAGAUGAAAAGAACUUUGGAAAGAGAGUUAACAGUACGUGAAAUUGUUAAAAGGGAAACAUUUGAAGUUAGACUUGUUAUUGUUGGUUCAGCUCUUUUUAAGGGUGUAUUCCAAUGGUUAACAGACCAGCAUCAAUUUUUGAGUGUUAGAUAAGGGUCUUGAGAAUGUGGCAACCUCGGUUGUGUUAUAGAUCUUGACUUGAUAUGAUGCUUAGGAUUGAGGAACGCA